AUUGAACGCUGGCGGCAGGCCUAACACAUGCAAGUCGAACGGUAACAGGAAGAAGCUUGCUUCUUUGCUGACGAGUGGCGGACGGGUGAGUAAUGUCUGGGAAACUGCCUGAUGGAGGGGGAUAACUACUGGAAACGGUAGCUAAUACCGCAUAACGUCGCAAGACCAAAGAGGGGGACCUUCGGGCCUCUUGCCAUCGGGUGUGCCCAGAUGGGAUUAGCUAGUAGGUGGGGUAACGGCUCACCUAGGCGACGAUCCCUAGCUGGUCUGAGAGGAUGACCAGCCACACUGGAACUGAGACACGGUCCAGACUCCUACGGGAGGCAACAGUGGGGAAUAUUGCACAAUGGGCGCAAGCCUGAUGCAGCCAUGCCGCGUGUAUGAAGAAGGCCUUCGGGUUGUAAAGUACUUUCAGCGGGGAGGAAGGGAGUAAAGUUAAUACCUUUACUCAUUGACGUUACCCGCAGAAGAAGCACCGGCUAACUCCGUG
rnacentral:rRNA from 1 species